UGAGGAAUUUUGCGCAAUGGGAGCAAUCCUGACGCAGCAACGCCGCGUGGGUGAUGAAGGCCUUCGGGUCGUAAAGCCCUGUCAGGUGGGAAGAAUGUCCCGGGACUGAACAGGUUCCGGGAGUGACGGUACCACCAGAGGAAGCACCGGCUAACUCCGUGCCAGCAGCCGCGGUAAUACGGAGGGUGCAAGCGUUAUUCGGAAUUACUGGGCGUAAAGCGCGUGUAGGCGGUCCUGCAAGUCUGAUGUGAGAGCCCCGGGCUUAACCCGGGAAGUGCAUUGGAAACUGUGGGACUUGAGUACGGGAGAGGAUGGGGGAAUUCCCGGUGUAGAGGUGAAAUUCGUAGAGAUCGGGAGGAAUAUCAGUGGCGAAGGCGCCCAUCUGGACGGUAACUGACGCUGAGACGUGAAAGCGUGGGGAGCAAACA
rnacentral:rRNA from 1 species